rnacentral:rRNA from 1 species
AUGGCCGACGUCCCUCCAGUGCAGACGGCGAUGCCAACGGAUACAGAGGCAAACGCGCCGCUCGUGCAGCCAUGGGAGUACAGCCUGCGGAAGUACCUCCUGCUGCUGGCCACCCUGGUGAUCACCGUCACGUACGCCGCCGGCUUCAACCCGCCCGGAGGCGUCUGGCAGGUCAUCCAUGAGGGCAAACUCGCCGGCGAUCCUAUCAUCCGCCAAAUCCACUACCGCCGCUACCUCGCCUUCUUCUACUGCAACGCCGCGGCAUUUGCCGCGUCCCUCGUGGUCAUCGUCCUCAUCCUCAUCCUCGCCGUCCAGCACGACAAGGAGAAGGAGAAGAAGAAGAAGGACGCCGUCCAGGUCGUCCUGCCGCUGCGGGGCUUCAUGAUUCUGGACGUGCUCAGCCUCAUGGGCGCCUACGGCGCCGGCACCUGCCGGGACAAGAGCUCCACUGUCUACUUCGCGGUGCUGGUGGCCGCCGUCUUCCUCUACAUCGUCGUCGUCAAGUUGCUGGACUCGUGGCUUACCGGCAAGCACUCCGACUCGUCCGGCUCCAGCGUGGAGUCCCAGAACGAGAUGGCCCUCAAGGAACUGAAAGAGAAAGAUCAAGAACGGCUCCGCAAGAUCCUGAUGCUCCUGGCGACUUUCGCUGCGAGCAUCACCUACGUCGCUGGGCUGAACGCUCCGGGUGGCUUCUGGGACAGCACCGGCGGCAACCACCGCCCGGGCGAUGCAAUUCUCAACGACCACCACAACCUGCGCAUGAGGGUGUUUUUACACUGCAAUACCACGGCGUUCGUGGCGUCCCUGCUCAUCACCAUGCUGCUCAUUGUCGACAGCAAGAAGCUCCCUGCUCGAUCUUUCGUGCUCUACGUGUGCAUCGUCGUCGCGCUUGUCGGCCUCGUCGGCGCAUAUGCGGCUGGCAGCUGCAGGGACACUGGUACCACCGCCAUAGUGGUCAGCCUGGCCGGCGCCGUGCUGGCAUUGGCAUGCAUCCUACUCCGCACUUUACCGUCAGAAUCCUUGUCUUGUUGUUCCUGUAGAACAAGAAAAACUGAUGCAACUCAGCACAGUUCUAAGGAGCUUCUGGACAAAGCUCGCUCUCUUGUUCUACUCCUCGCGACUCUUGCCGCCACCAUCACCUACACGGCAGGGUUGGACCCGCCAGGUGGCCUUUGGCAGGAAAACGGCGAUGGGCACAUGGCCGGCGACCCCAUCCUCCUCACGACCAACGCUAGGAGGUACAAGGCCUUCUUCUACUGCAACUCGGUUGCGUUCGUGACCUCCUUGGUGGCCAUCAUCCUGGUCCAGGAGGAGAAUCUGGUCAAGCACCACGUGCUAGAGGCAGCCAUGAUACUCGACCUAUUUGGCCUCAUUGGCGCGUAUGCUGCCGGGAGCUGCCGGGACGUGAGCACCUCCAUCUAUGCCAUGGCCUUGGCAGGUGCUGUCCUGGUCUAUGUGGUGAUCCAUGUCGUCUUCUUCACGCUAGACUACAAGGUUACGGAAAACAACGACCAAAAAGAUCGUUUGCUAGAGAAGAGGCGCAAACGGUUGCUCCUCUUCGCGAUUUUGACCGCAACCAUCACCUACCAAGCCGGCCUCACCCCUCCUGGCGGCUUCUUGCUCCAGGACGACGAGCUCGGGCACCGCGCUGGUGACCCGGUCCUCUUGUACAACUACCCAGGCCGCUACAACGCCUUUUUCUACUCCAACUCGGUGAGCUUUAUGCUGUCCAUCGCCCUCAUCAUCCUCCUGGUGAACCCUAAUCUGUACAGGCCAGCCAUACGGAGCAAUGCGCUAUCUGUUUGUACGGCUGUGGGGUUGUUUUGUUUGAUGGGAGCCUACGCCGCGGGAAGCACGCAACACCUCAAGACAUCCAUCUACAUCUUCGCGUUGGUGGUCGUGGUCCUCUUCGUUGCAGUCGUAGUGCUGCUAGUAUUUUUACUGAAGGGGCCGAACAUAAAUAGCAACAAUUCGGCGCCCAAAACAAAGGACGAAGAAGGGAAGGAAGAUGGCAACAAUUCGGCACCCAAAGAACAGGACGAGGAAGAAGGGAAGAAGGAAGAAAAAGGGAAGAAGGUAGAAGAAAGGAAGAAGCACGAGAUGCGCAAGUACCUGAUGCUGCUAGGCAUUCUGGUGGCGAGCGUAGCAUACCAGGCCGGCCUGAAACCGCCAGGUGGAGCAUGGCAGAGCAGUGGCAACGGGUACGAAGCAGGCGACCCAGUGAUGCGCAACAACAGGAGGCCCCGGUACCUCGCAUUCUUCUACAGCAACUCCAUUUCCUUCAUGUCUUCCAUAGUUGUCAUCAUCAUUUUGCUAUGGCAAUGGCUGCAAAAGAAGGCGAAAGGAGAAUGGGAGGAACAGUCGCUCAGGGUGAUGAACUGGACGAUCCGACUGGAUUUGAUUGCUCUCCUAGUAGCCUAUGCAGCCGGCUCCAACAGGGGGUGGAAGACGUCUGUUUAUGUCGCCAUGCUCAUCAUUGCUGUGCUGGGCUACUUUGCAAUCCAUAUGACGCUGGCACGUAUUGUUUGUCAGCUUAAGAAAUCCAAAGAGAGACCUGCAGUGUGA